rnacentral:rRNA from 1 species
UACGUAGGGUGCGAGCGUUAAUCGGAAUUACUGGGCGUAAAGGGUGCGCAGGCGGUUCUGCAAGUCAGGCGUGAAAUCCCCGGGCUUAACCUGGGAACUGCGUCUGAUACUGGGAGGCUUGAGUAUGGGAGAGGGAUGUAGAAUUCCAGGUGUAGCGGUGAAAUGCGUAGAUAUCUGGAGGAAUACCGGUGGCGAAGGCGGCAUCCUGGACCAUAACUGACGCUGAGGCGCGAAAGCUAGGGGAGCAAACGGG